rnacentral:miRNA from 1 species
CCAGUAUUGCAUUGCUGCUUGA